rnacentral:rRNA from 1 species
UAGGGAAUCUUCGGCAAUGGACGAAAGUCUGACCGAGCAACGCCGCGUGAGUGAAGAAGGUCUUCGGAUCGUAAAACUCUGUUGUUAGAGAAGAACAAGGACGUUAGUAACUGAACGUCCCCUGACGGUAUCUAACCAGAAAGCCACGACUAACUACGUGCCAGCAGCCGCGGUAAUACGUAGGUGGCAAGCGUUGUCCGGACUUAUUGGGCGUAAAGCGGGCGCAGGCGGUUUCUUAAGUCUGAUGUGAAAGCCCCCGGCUCAACCGGGGAGGGUCAUUGGAAACUGGGAGACUUGAGUGCAGAAGAGGAGAGUGGAAUUCCAUGUGUAGCGGUGAAAUGCGUAGAUAUAUGGAGGAACACCAGUGGCGAAGGCGGCUCUCUGGUCUAAAACUGACGCUGAGGCUCGAAAGCGUGGGGAGCAAACAGG